CCUACGGGUGGCAGCAGUCGAGAAUCAUUCACAAUGGGGGAAACCCUGAUGGUGCGACGCCGCGUGGGGGAAUGAAGGUCUUCGGAUUGUAAACCCCUGUCAUGUGGGAGCAAAUUAAAAAGAUAGUACCCCAAGAGGAAGAGACGGCUAACUCUGUGCAAGCAGCCGCGGUAAUACAGAGGUCUCAAGCGUUGUUCGGAAUCACUGGGCGUAAAGCGUGCGUAGGCUGUUUCGUAAGUCGUGUGUGAAAGGCGCGGGCUCAACCCGCGGACGGCACAUGAUACUGCGAGACUAGAGUAAUGGAGGGGGAACCGGAAUUCUCGGUGUAGCAGUGAAAUGCGUAGAUAUCGAGAGGAACACUCGUGGCGAAGGCGGGUUCCUGGACAUUAACUGACGCUGAGGCACGAAGGCCAGGGGAGCGAAAGGGAUUAGAUACCCCAGUAGUC
rnacentral:rRNA from 1 species